AUCAGCAGUUUGAUUGUCCAAAAUCAAAAAUACAAUAACUGAAUAAAAGGCAGUGCUAUUUAUCAUACGAUAUCAUCUUUAUUAAAAUGAAUAAGUCAGCGUUUUUCCUCAUGCUUGUCAUCGGACUUUCGGUCCUCACGACCGCUUGGGCUGAUCGUAGAAGUGAAGCGCCGAUGCAAAAUAUCUUGGCCGAUAGCGCUGACUACGACAACUGCUAUGUAAAAAGUGAUGGAUUUCAUGAUGGCUGCUUACAUAGAAGACAUGGCCCUUAUGACACCAACAAAAAGAUCUUUGACUUUUCUGACGAUGUGGCUGACAGCUUCUUUAAACGUUUAAUACAAAAUUAAGCAAGGCAAAAUUCUGUUUGUUAUAAAUAAAACAACAAACACAUUA